rnacentral:piRNA from 1 species
UGAUAGGAACCCAUGAAGAACUAUGAAAGGUC